GACGAACGCUGGCGGCGUGCUUAACACAUGCAAGUCGAACGGAAAGGCCCUGCUUUUGUGGGGUGCUCGAGUGGCGAACGGGUGAGUAACACGUGAGUAACCUGCCCUUGACUUUGGGAUAACUUCAGGAAACUGGGGCUAAUACCGGAUAGGAGCUCCUGCUGCAUGGUGGGGGUUGGAAAGUUUCGGCGGUUGGGGAUGGACUCGCGGCUUAUCAGCUUGUUGGUGGGGUAGUGGCUUACCAAGGCUUUGACGGGUAGCCGGCCUGAGAGGGUGACCGGGCACCUUGCGACUGCGAUAGGGCGCAGACUCCUACGGGAGGCAGCGGUGGGGAAUAUGGCACAAUGGGGGGGAGCGUGAUGCAGCAGCGCCGCGUGCGGGAUGACGGCCUUCGGGUUGUAAACCGCUUUGGAAUGUGACGAAGCGUGAGUGACGGUAAUGGGUAAAGAAGCACCGGCUAACUACGUG
rnacentral:rRNA from 1 species